CUUUCUGAGUUCGAACGAAGAGAGCCGAGGGUCCCGUCGUCCCUCCGCCUUGCUCUUAUUCAUCUGGAGUCGUCGCCGUGUUCACAGAUCACAGCCGCCAUAGUGAAGAGGAGGCGACUGCGUCGAACCCCUCGGCGCGGGACGAUGUCGCCAUUCUCAACAGUCAACACCUAAUACAGAAAUUCUAGUUAUUCAGACACACUCUCUCUAGCUUGUCCAACUUCAGAGGAGCUGCUUUCAUGGAUCUUCUGGAGUGGGAAUAAGAUACAGGUUCAGCAACUUGGAGAGGACCAGGACCAGUGUGGUCCCAAGGAUUGAGGUUCUUUGGAUCAAUAUGGUGAAAGGAAUUUGGGAUUUCAGAAUUCAGCCAACCUUUCAGGCUGAAACUGAUGUCUCACUCCACAAAGAUUUCAUGUAAGAUUCUCAGCUGAUAUUUUCUACACUCUAAACCUUAUUUAUGCACCCUAUAUGUUACCAUCAGCUGUUUUAGAUCUAUUUAUUGCUAGCCUGCAGAAAUUUUUUUGAAUAUGUAUGUAGACAGUGGUAUCCAAGUUAUGAAGGGUAGUAAUUAAA